rfam:Felis catus isolate Cinnamon breed Abyssinian chromosome A2, whole genome shotgun sequence.
GCCUGGGUGGCUCAGUCGGUUAAGUGUCCAACUUCGGCUCGGGUCAUAAUCUCGUGGUUCGUGGGUUCAAGUCCCGUCUCGGGCU